rnacentral:rRNA from 1 species
UACGUAGGUGACGAGCGUUAUCCGGAAUUACUGGGCGUAAAGCGCACGCAAGCGGUCUAACAAGUCUGGCGUGAAAUCCUCUGGCUUAACCAGGGGCGGUCGCUGGAGACUGUUAAACUUGAGGCGAUGAGAGGGGUGCAGAAUUCCCGGUGUAGUGGUGGAAUGCGCAGAUAUCAGGAGGAACACCGGUGGCGAAGGCGGGUCUCUGGGCAACAACUGACGCUGAGGAACGAAAGCGUGGGGAGCGAACAGG